ACGUUUUUUUUUGUUUUUUUUUUGUUUUUUUUUAAAAUGUUAUUAUCAAUUUGCUGAUCCUCCAUCUGAUAUAAUCGGAUUAUAAAACACCAGAGAGUUUGUCGCGGCGGCGGCAGAUGGGGGCACGGCGGAAACGAUUAGCUCGCGAGCUUCCCCUCCGUUAAUUUAUGGGGGAAUAAAAAAAAAAAAAAAAAGCAAUUAGCGGCGUCAACACAAUCGCCAACCCCCCACCGGAGCUUUGUCUCGGCUUUCAUCUGCUUUUCUCCUCCAUCCUCAGUCAGACAGUCAGUCAGCACCAUGAAAGUCGACAAAUGCGUGUCCGGUUCCUGAUUCCCGUGGGGAGAAAAAAUAAGUCCACAGCCCCGGGCACUCCGGCGGCACCCGACUGGUAGUAGGAUUUGACUGCGAAAGAAGGGGAGCUGCGAGGACGAGCGGACCGGGAGCCUUUCUCCUCCUCCCCCCUCCUCCUCCUCCUCCUCCUCGGUCACCAGACACCGCCUCCUCUCUCUCUCGUUCUCUCUCUCUCUCUCCAAUAACCGUGUCAUUGAUUUUCGUGUGUGUGUGUGUGUGUGUGUGGGGGGGGGGGGGGGGGGAAUUCGCCGUCUCUGUUCUGGCUGGUACCAAACACAAAUUGCACGUUAGUCACGCGCCUCUGUUGUGAGUUGAGAGUUCAGGCACGUGCCCCGACAUAAUAAACACAAUUUAAUUAAAAAACAAAAACAAAAAAAGCACGCCAAAGUGUAAAACAAACGAACAAACCCCCCCCCCCCACGGGUCGAGGUGGUUACUGCGCUUUUUCAGCACCUCGGACAGAGGCUGGAGUCAUAAAAAUGAAACGCUCCUUUAAUUUCCUUUAUGAAUAUACACACUUCAUAAAUGGGCCACAUAACUGGGGCGUUCAUUUAUUUUGGGGGGGGGGGGGGGGUAAUGUAACGCAGCGUGUGUAAAUAUUUAAUCUGUGACUCUCCGCUUCAUCUCUCUCUGGGUUUUGUUCGCUUUGGCAAUAGUCUUGUUUCUCUUUUCUCUCUCUUUGCAUAAUGUGUGUCUGCCUGUGCGGAGUUCAGGGAGGAGAUGGUGUCUGCCGUUCACUCUCCACCUCUGGUGUGUGUGUGCGUGCGUGCGCGUUUGAGGCAGGCUCAUUUGGCUCAUAGGCACCCGGCAGUGGGGUACAGUUCCUUAUCUAUCUCCCUCAUUUUCGCAUAAAAGCUUCUCCUAUUCUGACUAUUCUGGCUGACAUCAUGAUUCUCAUUUGAGUCGCUUUGCAUCUCUUUUGGCAAAGAGUUAGCAAGAUUAAUUUAGUCGGGAACAAAAGCUGGAAGGAAGAGUUUGGUUUCCAUUUGUGAUCCUGUAUUCAACUUGACCCACCAGAAAAGGCUUUGUUUUGUAUUUUUUUUUGCAAACUGCAAGCUGUAUUGUAUAUUUAUGCAAAUAUCUUUGUUCUAUUUUAAUGACUCUGAGUUGUUGCGUCACCUGAAGUUCACUGCUGUUUAAGUUCUUCUUUCCAGUAAAAACUAAACCCUACAGGACUACUGAA